rnacentral:rRNA from 1 species
GUGGGGAAUAUUGCACAAUGGGCGCAAGCCUGAUGCAGCCAUGCCGCGUGUAUGAAGAAGGCCUUCGGGUUGUAAAGUACUUUCAGCGAGGAGGAAGGUGUUGUGGUUAAUAACCACAGCAAUUGACGUUACUCGCAGAAGAAGCACCGGCUAACUCCGUGCCAGCAGCCGCGGUAAUACGGAGGGUGCAAGCGUUAAUCGGAAUUACUGGGCGUAAAGCGCACGCAGGCGGUUUGUUAAGUCAGAUGUGAAAUCCCCGGGCUCAACCUGGGAACUGCAUUUGAAACUGGCAGGCUUGAGUCUCGUAGAGGGGGGUAGAAUUCCAGGUGUAGCGGUGAAAUGCGUAGAGAUCUGGAGGAAUACCGGUGGCGAAGGCGGCCCCCUGGACGAAGACUGACGCUCAGGUGCGAAAGCGUGGGGAGCAAACAGG